rnacentral:rRNA from 1 species
GGCUACGGUAGAUGUGGCACUAGCAUAGAGCUGGCAACCGGCUCUGCUAUUAGUCAUCCCAUUGUUAGAGUCUGAGCAAAAAUGACGCAAUCUCAGGCCAUGUACCCUCGCAGCCGUCCGAUCGUCUUCCCGAGCGUGUCCUAGCCGUCGGAUCUCCGGGUGGACAGAUUCUAACCGUCAAUCGAGCCCGCAGCGACCCUGGCCGUCCGCUCGGAGUCGCCAUGCCACCGCCUGUAAAUAUGGUGGCCCGCCGGGGGUACUUCCGUCAUUUCACCUGGUGGCGUAUAAAUGCAGCGAGCCAAAACCUAGCCGCCGCCUCCUGCCCGCGUGUAGCCCCGCUCCUUCCUCGCCUCGCGGCUCCCCUCCCGUAACCCUACCCCCUCCUCUCCUCUGUGCCGCCGCCGUCGUCGCCAGUCCUCCUCCCCUCACACCGCGCCCGCACGGCCCUCGAGGCGAUGCGCCGGAUCCAAUCCGACCAUGCCGCCCUGCGAUGCGACGGCGAGUGGGCGCCUGCCCUCCCCGUCCGUGAGCUCGUCCCCAGGGACGUCAUGCAGUGAGUGGGCGAGAGCAGGUGAAGUGAAGGCUCGAAGCAGGCAAGCGGCCGUGACUCGAUGGGGUGCGAGGCGGAGGCGGAGGAGCACGUCUCCGGUCUCCCCGAUUCCGUUUCGGUGGUGGCGUGAGGGGAUCUGCCGACUGGCCGAGCAGGGCAGCAGGCGACGACGACGACCAAGGGAGAAGCCGAGCAGGGCAGCAGGCGAUGACGACGACCAAGGGAGAAGGGGAACGGCGCUGCGGCAUCCGGAAGGCACGCGGCCACAACCCCGUCAAGCUAGCGCGCCAUAUCGCGCUCCAGUGGACGGGAGGAGCCAGGUGCCGUCGAGGGGAGGAGCCAGGCGGAGCGCGCCGUCUCGAUUGGUUGCGCUCUGGGCGACACCAACAGCUCGCUCCAUUGGCUCGAUAUGGUGCUCCUGCAGUAGAUCGACGAGGAGGGCGCCACCACCACUGUCAUCAGGCCGGCCCGCAUCCACGCGCUGCACCAGGCUUUUUCUUCGCCUCUACUUCCAGCGACCACACCGGCCACAGAUGGUUCACACGGUCAUGUCUGCAGCUUCAGAAGAGAUUGCAGAUCAUAAGAUCGCAAGGCUAAUUGGUUACCGAUUCUUUAUCUUUGAGGUUUACCAGGGGCACUUUGCAGGUAUAAUUUUCAUCUCCUUUUUAGAAACAAGUAUCUUUAUUUUGAGAAUUAUUGUUGUACUACUUCACGGGUGAUAUUGCAGUGUGAAUUGUUCUAUGACAAACCAAUUUUCUGUAGUAUCAGGGCAUAGUGAUUCGUUCAUUAAUCUGACAAUAGUGGUAGAUCUGGCAAGUGUAAACUCCUUGUCUGUGUAGCUGUUUUAGUCAUAUAAUUUUAUCAUGUCGAGGGCAAAGAUACAUCACUGUUGCGUCGUGUAGCUCGAAGGGUCUGGGGCCGAGUCAAUGUGUCCUAGCUAUAUCAGGUAAAUUGGUUCAGUUCUUCUGAUUCAAGAGAUAAACUGUCAGGCACUCUGUUUGCCCUUGAAGCUUAUUUGCUUUUUCCUUUUGUGAAGAAAAACUUGAGAGUGUUGCUUGAGAAACUGUAAUAGACGUUUUUUAAGGUGGGGUGGGAAAAAAAACUGGUAACUGGCAGCCUUUGUCUACCACCUAUUAAGUAUUCUAUGCAAAAUGUGUUUCCAAGUAGCUGAUGGGGCAUCUUGCAGAAAUGGAUUGAGAAUCAGGUGUACAACCAUUUUCAAUACCAGUCGAUUUUUUUAGCUUUCUUCUGUUUCAAAUGUUCGUCUCAUACUAGAAGAGAUGCGUCAGUUAUUUGUUGACGAAUUGUCGGAUGCUUAGUUCAGUUUAAAAUAACAUGCCAUGUGGCUUUCACUGUUUAUGGCCGUGUUAAGGAUCAAAAGAAGACCUGUCGUUUAAUUGUUGGCAUGUUCUUUCUAAGCCUGCACUAAUUCCAAGUUCGUUUGCUCAGCAUAUGUUUUUUGCAGGUGUGUUGUUCGUAUACUGGUUACUGAGAAUGGAUUGGCAAGGGGGGGGGGGGGUCCUAUUCUGGCCAACGUCCUUUCGGUCAGCCACAUCCCAGGCUCCUGCAGUCGUCUUCUUUGCAUGACGGCGUGGUGUCUCGACGCGUGAUGGAUUCACUCACACGGAGGUAGCUUUUCUCCGCUACUCGGGCGACGGGCAUACAAGCUUUUGGGUCCAUGACGCCACCGAUAAACAAGGUAUGUCUUGUUCCGUUGAUUGAUCAGUUCAUCUUACUUUUAAAAUUCUUAUGCUCUGAUUUGCUCAAAUUCUAUCGAGACAAUGGUGGAAAUCAAAUUUAUUUAUUUUGAAUGCAUGCCAUUUCUCCCUGAUCAUUAGUUCAUCUAACUUGAAGAUGUAAACCUGGUGGCGUUUAAUCUUUUUCCAUAGACCAGGCAUUUGGGAGUUUAUUGCAAGCUAUACCAUCUUGAUGCGUAAUUGCAGAUUGUGUUCUUGCUAUAAUUUUUUAUUACUUCUGUGUUUUAUAAUAUUCCAUGUAAAUCAGAAUAUCCUUGAUGUACAUUCCUUGAUUUUUUUAAUGUUAGGGGCCAAUAUAUGUAUCCUUAAUUAGUUCUGCCUCUGUACAGUGUAGAUGAUAGUAACCCUUUUAUGUAUAUAUUUAUUUUGACUCUAGCUCAGGUCUGUGCAUUAUAUAAGGAGUUGAAUUUGUCGGUUUAAAAUAUUUGUGCUAUCAAUCCUUUCUGUCCUUCUAGACAAAAAAGUUAUUAGCUUUGAUUUUUUUGCUAAUUUAGAAUAUUUCUGCUAUCAUCAGUGUAGAUCGGAAGGGUUAUGAGCUCAACAAGAAAUGGACUGUAUAGUGAAGGCCUUUAACUAAUAAGUACAGAUUGUUUUUUUAUAGAAAACACAAGUAAAGAUUAUGUGAGGUGAUUUAUCCAUUUUUGGAGUUCCCUCAUUAGUGUAUCCCUCAUUGUUAAUUGGUAUGCCUAAUUGCUAUGAUUUUUUAGCCAUUUUUAUGGAAAACACAAGUAAAUAUUAUGUUUGGUUUCCCAUAUUCUUUACCUGCUUAAUUGGUAUGAAUUUUUUCAAUGUCAGAUUACUAUUCACACCUGUAUGAUUUUCGUCGAAGUAUGAUGGUUAGCUUGAAUUAGUGUCAUCUUGGUUAUGUGUCGUUUUUCUUUUGAUCAUUUUCUCACAUUCUAACACUAUUUUGUGUGUGCGUGUGCAGCCUAAUGUGUUUUGCAAGGGCAGAUCUUGGUGAUCAGGAGUAUUAGUAGCUAUCCCAUGUUCUUUGUUCUCAUAUUAGCUCACAGAUAGGUUGUCGACAUGAGUAAUUACUCUCUAAAAUAACAGUUUUGUGGUGUGCUAAGCCACUAUUGCUAUACAAGGAUUAUCAAGAAAAUUUGCUCUAGCAUGUACACUUUGCAGUCAAGUCUAAUGAAAGUAAUUAAGAUGAAGCAAUUUCUUGAUUUUCUUAACCUGGAGCUUUUACCAUCUCAUCAUCGGAUCAUUAUUACAGUAGCAUCCAGUCAAAUAUUUGUUUCUAUAUGUAUAUUUGAAGUCUAUUAAAAAACUAAAAACAUUGAAGGACCGGCAAGCCUUUUGGUAUUUUUGUCAAAUCUUUUAUUAUCCACAAUAGGAUAUCUAAAUUCAGUUAUUCUUUAAUCUCAAAUUUUUGAGAAGGCACUUUGUUUACCUUGGUUUGUUAUCUUGUGUUAUGCGCUACUAAAAGAUACGAUCCUAUCUAAGAUGAGGAUAUGCAUAGGAAGGGAGCAAUUUAUUGUGUAUGUAACAUUAUCUUCAAAAGAAAAUUACAAUUACUUAUAUAUGCACAUGGGCAUGGUGGUUCUCUUUUUGCAGCUCCUUAGGGAGGAGGGGGUGUGGAUGUGCUUGCAGAGUAAAAGGCAAGAGUGACACAUUGCUCGGAGUGCUCCAAGACUUCCACAGUGACUCCGAGAAGUUCCAACGCCCAUCCGAGCUCCUUCUUUUGGUGAUGUCAGCCGAUGACUUUUCUCAACACUGCAGCAUAUCCAUACAUUGCAACACCAAGCAAAUUGGAUGACAAGGCCGUUAGACAAAGCUAUCGAUCUAAUAGUCAACUGUAGUUUAUUACUAUGCCGUAUAAAGUAUAAAGGCAGUAUAAGUAAGUUUUCUGGGCCUACCACUAUUAUGGCCUACUUUUGGUACAUCAGAUUGAAUCUCCAUGCUUUAGGUAUCUCAUGUUAUAUUUUUGAACAAAUGCACCAGCGACAUGUAAUAAGCAUUGAACAAAUGCACUAGAGACAUGUAAUAAGCAUUGACCUAUUUGACCACCACUGCUAUAACUAUAUAUCAUCUUCAACUCUUUUGAAUGAUACCACAUUGUUAGGACAUCUACUACAUGUUUGAUUGCUAUACCUCUUUUGGUUAAGGCCC